AGUAAGAGGAGGAGCCUCCAGUGAAAGUGAAAGUGUUCAGACUCGUUCUAACAAGGAGCAGACGUGAGGUCUGAGGCUGCAGUGGUCACCAACCAGAAAGCUCUGGACUCACUGGCUGAGGUGUGAGGAGCAUCGACCUGCAGAGCCAGAACCAGAGGAAAUAGACCAGACCUUGAAUAUCUAGAAGAGCAGCGUGGCCUGAACCACAACUGAGCCGCAGCCGGUGCAACAUGGACGAGGACACUUCAGAGCAAGUUGGACCCUCAACCACAAAAGGUCAGGACCACAGACUGAGAGCAGAGUCUCCAGGGUCCAGCUGUCUGUCUCUGAAGAGUGACUGGUCCAUGGGAGAACCUCCAGCCUUCAGAAAUGAACCUGGACCCUCACACAGAG